GGCAGGGAGGCGUAGGGUGCGCGCCGGCUUCUGGUAGGAGGAAGGAAGGAAGUAAAGCCUGAGCGCCGGAAAACCUCGUUCGAUUCGGGGCCCUGCCA